UUUUAAUUAAGUCCUAAACAUUGUUUUUAAUAUUUACAGGGUACAGCGCAAAUAGUCUGAACUUUCAGAUUUAUUUGCUGGAGGGACUAAACAGGUGGAUCCAGGACCGGGAGGCUGCUUCCUUGGCAUCUGAACCAUCAGCUUUACGCAGCUACACAGGAGAACUUGUUUACUGUGUAAACUGCAACUUUGAAAAGCUGUUUGGGAGAAAAGUGGUGCCCAACUUUUGUCCGCCUGCACGUUACACUGGUGAGCUCAUUGGAGUGCAGUAUCUGUUCCAGCAGACUGGUCAGGCACUGCAGAACAUGAACCCAGACUGCUGAGCUCAUUGAGGAUCUCAAUGUGGAUGAGCGAGAAGAAGAUGAGGGCUUCUGUGACAUCAGUGAGGAUCACACUAUUGUUGAUCCGGAGGCUGCUCUGUCACCAUCCUCCUCCACAUUGAGAUCGGGUUCCUCCACUGCAGUCACCAGCAGUGUCGCUUCUUUGCCAGUCUCCACAUGCCCUGCACUGGUCCCUGAC